rnacentral:tRNA from 1 species
AUAUUGAUUUGGCAGAUUAGUGCAUUAAAUUUAGAAUUUAAAUAUGUGUGUUUACAAUCAAUA